GGCACGUUGAAUCUACCCUGCAUUAAUCAUGACGUGAUGGCAUUAUGUCCAUCCCCAGGCCCCUCUACCAAUUUUUUUUUUUUUUCUAGGUAGUAAGUAUACAUUGUACAGUAAAGGCAGCUAUGGUAUGUCGGUAUAGACCUUGAGCAGAACCAAUUAUUAGUGUGUAUGUUAGAAUUAGUCUAUCUAAGAUUAAAAAAAAAAGAUAAAGAAGCAUUUAAUAUAAACAUAUGUUUUAUUUGUAUUUCUACUUUUACUUGCAUUGAAUCCCUUUUUCAAACAUUCCCUGAUAUUACUGUUGACUGAGGAGUUUAAACAGCAUUUUCCAUCAGUGAUUGUGUUCGCAGGUAUCUGUAAAUACAACAUGCUAUGUAUCUGGAAUUUCUAUAGUUCUCUGCCCUGAAGGAUUGACCUACUUUUGCAAAUGUUUUUCUCUGUAAACCUCUCCCGCAUUAGUUUACUUAUGGCCUGACUGCAUACAAACACAUUAAUUUUGUCAACAAGGCGGUAUAUGCUACACCCUUACAUUUUUAGAAUGAAUGUUGCAUAUAACACACUGUGGCCUGGCCUUCAGUCCCUAGAGCCCAAAAUGUAGAUUUUAUGAAGCGAUUUUAUGACUGUUAAUCCCCCUUCUCUUGUACUUUAAUUCUCUGUCAAGGCUUCUUUACCUGGAAAUGUUGUCUUCUACCUUCUAUUAAUGCUUCAGUGGAUAAUGCCUUAAUAUGUUAAUUUUUUCCUUACGUAAUGUUACAUCUCAUCACAAAAUCUAAUAAGAAGUAAUUUCUCAUUUUAGUUGCUGAUUUGGAUUGCAGGUGCAAUGGUAGCAAUGCCUGUGCUCAUAGAUAAUCAAAUUCUCAUCCUUAAAAAAGGUCCUGUUGUUGUUGUCAUGUUAGCGUCUGUAACUGCUUUAACCCUUUCUCAAGGGGUCGCAGGGGUUGUUGUUGGAGCCAGUCCCAGGUGUCUCUGAGCGAAGGCAGGGUACACCUCGAACAAGUUGCCAGCUCAUCGCAGAGCCCCUCACUGAUGGCACCUGCACAUCAGGAGCAAUUUGGGAUUCAGUGUCUUGCUCAAGGACACUUUGACAUGCAGCUCAGCUCAGCCCCCGGGAGCCAGGAUUCGAAGCAGCGACCUUCCGAUCACGAGCCGACCUGCUCUACCUGCUGAGCUACAGCCGGUCCAAUCCUGUUGUUGUUAUCUUUGUAACCAUGACAGCGUCGGCUGGUGAUGUUUUUUUACCUUGCGAGUCUCUGUGUGUUUGUCAUUGUGAUAAAAUGUGACACAGGUUGUAGCGGGAAUAACCACAGAGGCGGUCUACAUGGUAGUACAGGUUUUUAUAUGUCUGUCUAUCUGCAGAUUUUUGUCAGGAGGCACGAUGGCAUCAUAGAUUCAGAUUCAGAAAAGUUUGCAGGUGUGUAGUUCAGAUCAAACUGUGGCAGUAGUCAUCACUGACUAGUCAUGAGUCACAAGGCGAACAAGUUGACACGUAUUGGUCUCUAGUUUUGUGGUGUGAAUGCUUAAAGUAAAUGGAUGCCAAAUUAGACUGAAGAAGAGAAGCACAAGGUAAUUCCAGUAAAGGAAACACUUGCAGACUUUAUAGAAUCUUAAAUUACUGUUGAGACUGAAGAAAUAGUCCUUCUCUUUCCCUGAAAUGUGGGGUGAUUAAAGCAAAAGUAAGUCUAAUUACCACAGGUAACUGACACAUUAGAUCCCUGAAGCAGUUUUGGGGUCUGGAACAUGUUUUGCAGUUCACUAUAGCUGACCUUGACCUCUGACCCCUCUGGAGAAAGAUCUGUGAGAGAGAAUUAAAUCAAAAACAAAACAAAAAAAACAGGCUUUAUACAACUCCUGGAACCAAUCUGAGUCCUUCCUCUUCUAAAGCUGCCCUUCUGUCCCUCACAGCAGUCAGCUUUUGGCCUGGACUCUCAGCUUGAUCUGAACAUAGACACAGUUAUGUAAGGAGGAAUGGAAAGGAGCCCCUGUGCCAAACAGAUUAUCCGAUUAGUAACAAGAUAGCAGCCCAGCUACUUGAUCCUGGCACAUCACAGCUUAAAUGUUGCCUGUCCAGCCUGCCUGGGAGAGCAGGGGACACGGGGGUCACUGCCACCUGGCAGCCACCGGGCAACAGCACCCUCAUGACAUAACUGGGAGUCUGUGUUGCGUGAAUGGCAGCAGCAGAGUCAAGAGGGACCGUCUGCAAGUUUAAAAGUAGAUGUUUACAUCUUCGUAUCCACACGUCAAAUAAUUCAAGCCAGAAUAAAAGAGUCUUUUUUUCCCCAGGUAUCUGCAUUUCUACCCUGGUAAAUAAUGUGUGUUCCUCUGCGGAGGUGAAGGGGAUGGCAGCAGAAUCACAGGUGGGAAGGCUGCCAAGCAAGUGACCACAGUUCAAGACUGUGUUUCAACAUCUGACUCACCACGUCAGUGUACAUCAUGAGAGGAAGCAGGGUCCCAAACAAUUACAAAUUGGAUUUGGUAGAGGAAAUUAGGUGGCAUCCGAUCAGAAGAUCAGAACGUGAUUGGUUAGAUGGAUUGCUGCUGUUUCCACAUGACGGGCAAUCUGAGAUUACUGGGAAUAAA